CAAGCGUCUGGGGUAAGGAGUCGCUGCCAUCAUCAGCAGCCUCACUGAUGAGUCUAGGCGAGACGAAACGCAAA
rnacentral:hammerhead_ribozyme from 17 species